CCUACGGGUGGCAGCAGUGAGGAAUAUUGGUCAAUGGGCGGGAGCCUGAACCAGCCAAGUCGCGUGAGGGAAGACGGUCCUAUGGAUUGUAAACCUCUUUAGGCGGGGAGCAAGGCCGGGCACGUGUGCCCGGAGGGAGAGGACCCGCAGAAGAAGCAGCGGCGAACUCCGUGCCAGCAGCCGCGGUAAUACGGAGGAUGCGAGCGUUAUCCGGAUUGAGUGGGUUGAAAGGGUGCGUAGGCGGAUUGUUAAGUCAGCGGUAAAAUGUCCGGGCUCAACCCGGGCCGGCCGUUGAAACUGGGGCUCUUGAGUGGGCUAGAAGUAUGCGUAAUGCGUGGUGUAGCGGUGACCUGCCUACAUAUCACGCAGAACUCCGAUUGCGAAGGCAGCAUACCGGCGCCCGACUGACGCUGAGGCACGAACGCGUGGGGCUCGAACAGGAUUAGAUACCCGGGUAGUC
rnacentral:rRNA from 1 species